rnacentral:misc_RNA from 1 species
CAAAAUUUUAGUUCUUGAACAAAAUUCAUUUCAGCUCUUAACCCGGAAGGAAGGGAGAGUACGUUACAUGGGGAGUCUGAAUCAAAACAGAGAUGUCAAGAAAUGGUAGAGCUGCUCAUCUAUAAAUAAAUAAAUUAAAAAUAAAAAGUGCAAUGAAAAAGAUAAAAAGAGAAAACAAAGGGGAGAGGAGGAGAGACCAAAUUUGUUCUUUGGGGGCUUCUUCAUUUUAGAUGGAUCAGACUUGGUAUCUGAAUUUAUAUAAUCCUUUGGAAAUCUUAUUUGAAAGGAUUUCCGAGUUGAUGAGUGACGGUUGUAGGGGCAAAGUCCUCGUAAUGCACUGAUGAAAUAUAUUAUCAGUAUUUGCCAAUCUAAGGUGCUAUUUCUCUAUUGAGGACAUACGCAAUGCUGGGCUGUGGGCUCUUUAUGGCCUUUUUGUUUAACAUACAGAUAUAACUAAUUUAUAUAUGUACAAAUAAGAUCAUUAUUUGUGUUUUUCUUGUGGAUCAGAUUAAUCGGGUUGCAGAACUUAGGCAACAACUUGAGUUUAAAGAACUGGCUCCUGAAGAACUCAGAAGGAAGGUCUUCAAGACUCACCAAACUGGGACAUAUCUAAACCAA